rnacentral:tRNA from 1 species
GCGGCCGUCGCCUAGUCUGGACUAGGGCGCCGUGCGCCCGCGCCGGAGGACCCGGGUUCGAAUCCCGGCGGCCGCACCA